rnacentral:tRNA from 3 species
GCCCGGAUGGUGGAAUGGUAGACACAAGGGACUUAAAAUCCCUCGGCCGCAAGGCUGUGCGGGUUCAAGUCCCGCUCCGGGUACCA